AUUGAACGCUGGCGGCAGGCCUAACACAUGCAAGUCGAGCGAGCGGCGGACGGGUGAGUACUGUAUGGGGACUGCCCGAUAGAGGGGGAUAACUACAGGAAACGGUAGCUAAUCCCGCAUACUAUCGGAUAACCCAUAUGGGAUUAGCUAGUGGGUGAGGUAAUGGCCCACCUAGCCGACGAUCCCUAGCUGGUCUGAGAGGAUGUUCAGCCACACGGGGACUGAGACUCGGCCCAGACUCCUACGGAGGCAGCAGUGGGGAAUAUUGCACAAUGGGCGCAAGCCUGAUGCAGCCAUGCCGCGUGUAUGAAGAAGGCCCUAGGGUUGUAAAGUACUUUCAGUCGGGAGGCGUUACCGACAGAAGAAGCACCGGCUAACUCCGUGCCAGCAGCCGCGGUAAUUC
rnacentral:rRNA from 1 species